AGUCGACGGUACAGAACUAGCUUGCUAGUUGCUGACGAGUGGCGGACGGGUGAGUAAUACUUAGGGAUCUGCCUCUGUGUGGGGGAUAACUAUUGGAAACGAUAGCUAAUACCGCAUAACGUCUACGGACCAAAGAGGGCUUCGGCUCUCGCGCAGAGAGGAACCUAAGCGAGAUUAGCUUGUUGGUGAGGUAAAGGCUCACCAAGGCGACGAUCUCUAGCUGUUCUGAGAGGAAGAUCAGCCACACUGGAACUGAGACACGGUCCAGACUCCUACGGGAGGCAGCAGUGGGGAAUAUUGCACAAUGGGGGCAACCCUGAUGCAGCCAUGCCGCGUGUGUGAAGAAGGCCUUCGGGUUGUAAAGCACUUUCAGUUGUGAGGAAAGGUUAGUAGUUAAUACCUGCUAGCUGUGACGUUAACAACAGAAGAAGCACCGGCUAACUCCGUGCCAGCAGCCGCGGUAAUACGGAGGGUGCGAGCGUUAAUCGGAAUUACUGGGCGUAAAGCGCACGCAGGCGGUCUGUUAAGCUAGAUGUGAAAGCCCCGCGCUCAACGUGGGAGGGUCAUUUAGAACUGGCAGACUAGAGUCUUGGAGAGGGGAGUGGAAUUCCAGGUGUAGCGGUGAAAUGCGUAGAGAUCUGGAGGAACAUCAAUGGCGAAGGCAACUCCCUGGCCAAAGACUGACGCUCAUGUGCGAAAGUGUGGGUACCGAACAGGAUUAGAUACCCGGGUAGUCCACACCGUAAACGCUGGCCACUAGCUGUUUGGGGGAUUAAUCCCGGGAGUAGCGAAACUUAACGCGAUAAGUAAACCG
rnacentral:rRNA from 1 species